AAUGAAUAUAUUUUAAAUGGCCGCAGUAUUUUGACUGUGCAAAGGUAGCAUAAUCAUUAGUUUCUUAAUUAGAAACUGGAAUGAAAGGUUGAACGAGAAAGUAACUGUCUCUUUAUGAAUUUUUUAGAAAUUUAUUUUUAAGUUAAAAAGCUUAAAUUUUUUUAAAAGACGAGAAGACCCUAUAGAGUUUCAUAUAAUAGUUAAUAGGUAUUUAUAUUGAAUUUAAAAGAUUUUAUUAAUAUUUAUAUUUAAUUGGGGUGAUUAAAAAAUUUAAUAAACUUUUUUUAAAAAAAAACAUUUAUUUAUGAAUUAUUGAUCCAUAAAAAUGAUUAAAAGAUUAAAUUACCUUAGGGAUAACAGCGUAAUUUCUUUGAAGAGUUCUAAUCGAUAAAGAAGAUUGCGACCUCGAUGUUGGAUUAAAAUAAAUUUUUGGUGUAGAAGCUAAAAUAUUAGGUCUGUUCGACCUUUAAAAUUUUACAUGAUCUGAGUUUAAACCGGUGUGAGCCAGGUUGGUUUCUAUCUUUAAUAAAUUUAAUUAUUUUAGUACGAAAGGACCAAGUAGUUAUAAAAAUUAU
rnacentral:rRNA from 1 species